CCGCAUUCCCUUGUUUUCGUCUCACUCACUCCACCUCUCCUUCUCUCUCUCUCUCUAUCUCCCUCUUCGACUUGUAGAGGAGGCUAAACCCUAAUCUACUCCGAUCACCGCAGCCUCUAAAUUCCAGUCACUACAAGAUGACUCAAGACGUGGAGAUGAAAGAGGUCCCGGCCCCUUCCAAUUCAGUCUAUUCUACUACUCCCACAACUCUCCACCGACGUACUGAGCCCUCGAGCGAGGAGGACAUAGACAGGCAGCAGGGUUAGCUGCGGGAUU